CUGAAUAACUAUGCCGAUCGCAUGGUCUCGUACCGGCGACGUAUCUUUCAAGUGUCUGCCUUAUCAACUGUCGAUGGUAGUUUAUGUGCCUACCAUGGUUGUAACGGGUAACGGAGAAUCAGGGUUCGACUCCGGAGAGGGAGCCUGAGAAACGGCUACCACAUCCAAGGAAGGCAGCAGGCGCGCAAAUUACCCACUCUCGGCACGAGGAGGUAGUGACGAAAAAUAACGAGACGGGUCUCUUUGAGGCCCGUUAUCGGAAUGAGAACAAUUGAAAUCCUUUAACGAGGAUCUAGCGGAGGGCAAGUCUGGUGCCAGCAGCCGCGGUAAUUCCAGCUCCGCAGGUGUAUAUCUAUGCUGCUGCGGUUAAAAAG
rnacentral:rRNA from 1 species